rnacentral:rRNA from 2 species
UACGGGGGGGUAAGCGUUGUUCGGAAUUACUGGGCGUAAAGGGCUCGUAGGCGGCCAACUAAGUCAGACGUGAAAUCCCUCAGCUUAACUGGGGAACUGCGUCUGAUACUGGAUGGCUUGGAUUCGGGAGAGGAAUGCGGAAUUCCAGGUGUAGCGGUGAAAUGCGUAGAUAUCUGGAGGAACACCGGUGGCGAAGGCGGCAUUCUGGACCGAUAUUGACGCUGAGGAGCGAAAGCCAGGGGAGCAAACGGG